rnacentral:rRNA from 1 species
GGCCCUUGUGGUUGUAAMSYUYUGUCRGUGGGGAAUAAAGCUGCACGGCGAAUAACUGUGCGGUCUGAAGGUACCCACAAAGGAAGCUCCGGCUAACUCCGUGCCAGCAGCCGCGGUAAUACGGAGGGRGCGAACKUUGUUCGGAUUCMCUGGGUGUAAAGGGUGCGUAGGCGGCUGCGUGUGUCAGAGGUGAAAUCUACCGGCUCAACCGGUCAAAUUACCUCUGAAACUGCGCGGCUUGAGUCCGGAAGAGGAAGGUGGAAUUCCUGGUGUAACGGUGAAAUGUGCAKAUAUCARGAAGAACACCGGUGGCGAAGGCGGCCUUCUGGUCCGGUACUGACKCUGAGGCACGAAAGCUAGGGUAUCGAACGGGAUUAGAUACCCCGGUAGUCCUAGCCGUAAACGAUGUCCACUAGGUGUUGGAGGUUCUACCCCUUCAGUGCCGGAGCUAACGUUUUAAGUGGACCACCKGGGGAGUACSCUCGCAAGGKUGAAACUCAAAGGAAUUGACGGGGGCCCGCACAAGCGGUGGAGCAUGUGGUUUAAUUCGAUGCAACGCGAAGAACCUUACCGGGGCUUGACAUUCRRGGGACAGGUGUAGAGAUACACCCUCCUUCGGGCUCCUGGACAGGUGCUGCAUGGCUGUCGUCAGCUCGUGUCGUGAAAUGUUGGGUUAAGUCCCSCAACGAGCGCAACCCUUAUUUUUAGUURCCUUUUGRA